CACGGGGGGAGCAAGCGUUGUUCGGAAUCACUGGGCGUAAAGGGCACGUAGACGGUCCAAAAAGCUCUGCCUGAAAUCCUCUCGCUCAACGAGAGAUUGCGGUGGAGGACUGCUGGACUUGAGAAUUGGAGAGGCGAGCGGAAUUCCCGGUGUAAGGGUGACAUCUGUAGAUAUCGGGAGGAACACCAGUGGCGAAAGCGGCUCGCUGGCCAAUUACUGACGCUGAGGUGCGAAAGCUAGGGGAGCAAACAGG
rnacentral:rRNA from 1 species